rnacentral:rRNA from 1 species
UAGGGAAUAUUGGACAAUGGGGGCAACCCUGAUCCAGCCAUGCCGCGUGAGUGAAGAAGGCCCUCGGGUUGUAAAGCUCUUUUGUCCGGAAAGAAAAGCAUUCGGUGAAUACCCGGAUGUUCUGACGGUACCGGAAGAAUAAGCACCGGCUAACUUCGUGCCAGCAGCCGCGGUAAUACGAAGGGUGCAAGCGUUACUCGGAAUUACUGGGCGUAAAGCGUGCGUAGGUGGUUGUUGAAGUCUGAUGUGAAAGCCCUGGGCUAAACCUGGGAAUGGCAGAGGAAACUGGGCAGCUAGAGUGCGGUAGAGGGUAGUGGAAUUCCCGGUGUAGCAGUGAAAUGCGUAGAGAUCGGGAGGAACAUCUGUGGCGAAGGCGACUGCCUGGACCAGCACUGACACUGAGGCACGAAAGCGUGGGGAGCAAACA